UUGGAGAUAGACAACUGUUUUAGACUUUCUUAAAGUUUUCUGCAAUGGCUGAGUGCCCCACAUUUUCUAAUCUCUUUAGGUGGGGUGUGUGUUAGGACAGUAAACACUAUAGUGAAAUAGUUGUUGUGACCAGAUAAGUGGUGGGUGGGACAGGAUAGACCACUAAGGGCGGUGAAAUCUAUAUCUGAGUGUUGUGUCUGGAGGUGUGCCUAGGACAUGGAUGGUAUGUAUAAUUGAGUAAGGCUUAUUAUAGAACACUGCCAGGUUGCAUCAUAAAAAAAUAGAAUUAUAGAAUUUUUAGGGGUGGGGUAAAGACCUCAGAGUUGACUUAGUCUAACCCCUCACAUUACAGAUGAGGAAAUAGACUAAAAGACAAUAAUAAAUAUUUGUUCAUUUGACACAAUUAGUGGUUCAACCAAACUAUUUCCUGAGCUGGUUUAUACUCUGUAUAGUGUUUGGUAUUUGGGACUGACCAGCUAAGUUUGGAUUCAUUCAUGAACUCACAAAGACUGUUUGUGAGGAAGUUGGUGUAAAAAAUAAGGAAGACUAGAGCACUUAAGCAGCUUUAUUGGGACAGUUCUCUACAGACUAAAUUUAGUUUUGGUGUUUCUUAUGUGGUCUAGUGUGGACCACUGGGCAGGAUAGGAGUCAUUGCCUCAACUUGACAAGGCUUUGUAAGGAUCUGGCACUGGCUCAGACCCCCUUCAAUGAUAAACUUACACAAGACAUUGCAGUUCACACAUCACAGUAGAGCUUUGAACCCAGUCAGGUCUGCAUGAACAGAAACAAUGUCUUACAAUAUUUAACUUACAGCACUUUUACCAUGUUCCAAGUAGAACUCAUUUGAGUUCUUGGAAAAAGCAUGUCUGUCAAAAUCAUAGAUCUGGCCCCAAAUGUCCAUCAGAUGUUAAUUAUGAAAGCUACAUGUGUAAAUAUACACAGAUAUUCUUUAUAACAACCAUUUUAAAGUUUUCUCAAAUGUCUAUUUCAUCAUCUUGCCUGCUCUAACUACAAUCAGGAGGAAAAACAUGAAACAACUGAGAAAAGCACAUCAUCUCCGCAAAGGAGAGUAGAAUACCUCGCCUUAUAAAACCAAUAAAGCGGGUCCUUCUAUACUGAUGGUGUUGGCUUUUGUUUCAUAGCCCAGUUACUGUGCCUAAAUUGGGCGUUACUAGAGUCUCUGUAGGUUUCACAAUCCCCCCACAACAGGUUGUUCUGUCCCCCUGCAUAGGACUACUCUAGUCUUUCGGAUUCUCCCAUAAGGAAGUAUUUGGCUGCUGCUGUUCCGGUGUGACUGGGCCACGGUUCCCUAAAGGGGACCCCUCUGGAACCCCACACCAUUGGAUUUGAGGGAUUUUCGGCUCCGGACUCAAGGCGGGAAUGUGGGGUAACGCCUGGUUCAGUGAGGUCCACUUAUAGCCUCAGGCUCCUCUUUAAAACCGGGACCAGCUCCGGAAGAGCCAGAAGACUGCGGCGGUCUAAGGCCGCCGCCUCUUGUAAUUCAUAAUUCGGGGGGUGGGGGAGGUGCAGAAUGAAAGGGAGGGCAAGGGCGAACCGGCAGCCCCACAUUUACCCCAGCCCACCUCCCCACAAGUGACCCCCACGCUAGCUGCUCUCGCGGCCCCAUCGGGCCUGGCUUGCUCCGCCAGGCAGCUUCGGUCCAUACUCCCAGGCCUUCUUAAGUCACUUUCGGCGGUGGCCCAGAACUGACAAAGUGAGUACCCGGACAGAGAAGAGCGGAAUGAAGGCGGAGCUUAACACCGCCCCCUCCCACCCCGCAAUCCCUCGCCCUCCAGAUCACGUGGCUUAAGCUUAAGACCCCCACCCCACCCCCUGCUACGGAAGCCGUAGAAGUCACGCGGAAGAGUGCGCAGGAGGCCUCAGAGCGAAAAGAGGAGGGAGGAAGAGCGAGGAGUCGGUUGGCGCCAGGGUGGCUCCGUGCGUUUCCGGUCGGACCACGGGGAGAGGGACGAGCCCCAGGAUGGGGGUUGGGCAACUCCUGGCCUCUGGCCUCCAUCCGCCUCCGCCCUCUUCCGACGGUACACUUCCCUGCGCAGAACACCCGGGCCCGCGUGCAAGGCUCCGCCCCCAUGCGUAUGGCUACGUCAGAGGCGAUGACGGCGGCGUCUCCCUCCGCCAGGCAGUUCCGUCGCCGGCACUAGAUUCCUCCCCCCCCCUUCCCGCUCCGGAAGUUCCCCCACCCUUCCCUUCCAGCAGCUAGAGUCUGUCCAGGGACUCGCGCUCUUUUCCAGCUGUUCGUGACUCAGGCAGCAGAACCGGCCCUUUCGGCAUGGGUGGAGGGCGCUCAUUGGCUGUCGGGCGUCAGUCAUAGAGGGUGCGUCGAGUGUGGAAUGCUGGGGGUGAGGAGCGUCCCUAGAGGUCACCUCGCUCAACGACCCCCAUCCCUAAGGAGGUUCCCACUGUGGUUAGGCCACAGACCUUGAAUGCUUGUUGUGUUUUACCUUCCUCCUCCGUCCUUGCCCGUUGGGAAGGGGCGGCGGGGACCUGGACUUGGCCGGGCUGGUUCAGGUACACAGUUGGCGCAUAAUAAAAGCGAGGUCUUGGCCCUGACUAAUGGACUGGGGCGGACAAUUGGAGAACUCGCCAGAUCUGGGUUCGAGUCCAAACUCUAAAGCAUACCAACUACAGGAACCCCCAGGACUCCCCACAACUCGCUUUUAGGAGCGUCCUCCCCUGGAGUAAAGGCCCCAACCUAGCUCCUCCUUCGAGAAACUCCGGAAAGAAGUACGCCUCUAAUUACCCUCUCCGCCCUCACCUACACUGCUCACUUAGGCUCUUCCGGCCUAGAUCCGGAUUUACUCAUCCCAAAGUUAAGGAAAACCAAGGACUGUUUGGUGGGGUGGGCCUGUGUCCCUGGGGUGAAUCGAAGGGACAGUCAGCAGGACCAAAUUAAGAUUUUGAUUGCUUAAGCUGGAAGCAGCCGUUGCCAUUGUCUGCCUUUCUGGGAGUAGAAUGUCUUGCUCUAACUCUAGCUUGUGUUUGCUCCAUCAUGCUGUGUGGUUAGAUAUUGACUACUGUCUUUUUUUUCCUAAAACUCAUCUCAUGGCCUCAGGCACUUCCUAGCUGGGUGACCCUGGACAAGUCACUUCACCCUCAUUGCCUGUCCCUUACCACUCUUCUGCCUUGGAACCAAAACAUAUUGUUAAUUCUGAGAUGCAAAGCUAAGGAUUUUUUUUUUUUAAUCGUCUCAGAAAAUAGUCUCUUUUGCCUUUAUUGUCAUGCCCUCAGUGGUUUUUCUCUUCCUGCUUUUGAGUCUGCUUGGCUGUCUCUGGCUUCAUGCCUUACUGGAGUGUUUAGUCUAUUUCCUGUCCCUUCACCCACCAGUCUGUCUCUGCCCCACCCCCAACCCUUUUUCUUUCUUGUCCUAUAUGUGAAUGUAAUAUAAAUUCGAAAUAUAUUUAAAGUUUUUAUGGUGUUUGCCAUAGAAACAUUUAAAUUUAAGUUUUAUAUUCUUUGUUACUUAAGUAAAAAUUAGAUAAACUGAACAUCUCAAAAAUAA